CCCUUAGAUGUCCUGGGCCGCACGCGCGUUACACUGAUGCAUUCAACGAGCUUAUAACCUUGGCCGAGAGGCCUGGGCAAUCUUGUUAACGUGCAUCGUGAUAGGGAUAGAUUAUUGAAAUUAUUAAUCUUGAACGAGGAAUUCCUAGUAAACGCAGAUCAUCAAUCUGCAUUGAUUACGUCCCUGCCCUUUGUACACACCGCCCGUCGCACCUACCGAUUGGAUGGUCCGGUGAAGCCUCGGGAUUGUGGUUCUUGCCGCUUUAUUGUGGCGUGACCGCGAGAACUUGUCUAAACCUUNUNAUCUAUNGGAAGGUGAANUCGUANCA
rnacentral:rRNA from 1 species